AGGUCUCUCCUCUCUGUUGCUGGAUCCCCUGGAAAAGACAGUAUCUAAAGAUGACUUCAGUCUCGUUCAGAACGUGUGGCAAAUGAAAGAUCCCCAAUUGUCUUCACUCAAGGUAAAGCUCUGGUCUCCCAAAAAGGAGGUUGGACUAAAUUGAAUCUUCUGAUUCCAAUUUUAUGAACUGCAUUAAAAUCUCUCUAGGGUGCAGGAUUAUGUUUGUGUUGAAGAAUGACUGCAUUAAGAUAGAUUCAAUUUUCUCCUCCCAUUCCUGCAAAGGGGAGAAAGGUGCUUCCCCUCCACUUCACGCCACUUGAAAUCACCUCAAGAGGAACUGCAAGGAGACAAGUCAGAAAGUGUGAUAUGUUCACCUAAGAGUUUGGGAAACAUUAAACUGAUGUCUGACUCAUGCCCAGGAAAGCUGAAGGGUGAGUGGUUGGUCUAUAUUCCAGGAAACAGUCUAUGAAGAGAGAAAAAUACACUGAAAAAGAGCUGCUUUUCCACUGCCAGCAGGACUUCCCAUGGUCCACAUGUGGGCCACACAGGAGGGAACCAACUGGGACUCAUUUUAAAACAGACCUCUCAAAGAUGGCUUCUUGACAUGCGUGAGGUGACUCAGUUGACCUUGGAGUACACUGGAUGCAUAAACUGAGAGUGGACUGUCAGAAGUGCUGUGUGUACCUGAUAAAGGCAUGACUGCUCUCAGAGAAAAGGAAAACUGUAUGCCUUAUACAUGUGUUUAAUACAAAUUUUAUCGCUACGAAGAAUGUAUAAGAGACAGUAUGCAAAUAAUCAUGAAGCAUACAAUAUUCCAUGUUGUAAAUUCCAUACAGCCAAGGCAUUCUCUGAGAAGCCUUUUUCUAUUGAUUUUUUUGAUGAAUUAUUGAAUCCCUAAGCAAACUAGGAUUGCAAAUCAGUGUAGAUAAACAGUAGAUUCAACAUGAAUGUUGGCUGAUAGUUUUGUGUACAUUAAUGACUAAAAUGAAAAGUAAAACAACA